CUGCCAGUAGUCAUAUGCUUGUCUCAAAGANUAAGCCAUGCAUGUCUCAGUACAAGCCAUAUUAAGGUGAAACCGCGAAAGGCUCAUUAAAUCAGUUAUGGUUCCUUAGAUCGUACCCACAUUUACUUGGAUAACUGUGGUAAUUCUAGAGCUAAUACAUGCAAACAGAGCUCCGACCGGAGACGGAAGGAGUGCUUUUAUUAGAUCAAAACCAAUCGGCGGCAAUUAAGUUUACUUUAUUGUUCGUCGCACUUUUUGGUGACUCUGAAUAACUUUUGGCUGAUCGCACGGUCUCGCACCGGCGACGUAUCUUUCAAAUGUCUGCCUUAUCAACUGUCGAUGGUAGGUUCUGCGCCUACCAUGGUUGUAACGGGUAACGGGGAAUUAGGGUUCGAUUCCGGAGAGGGAGCCUGAGAAACGGCUACCACAUCCAAGGAAGGCAGCAGGCGCGCAAAUUACCCACUCCCGGCACGGGGAGGUAGUGACGAAAAAUAACGAUACGGGACUCAUCCGAGGCCCCGUAAUCGGAAUGAGUACACUUUAAAUCCUUUAACAAGGACCAAUUGGAGGGUAAGUCUGGUGCCAGCAGCCGCGGUAAUUCCAG
rnacentral:rRNA from 1 species